rnacentral:rRNA from 1 species
AUGAAUGUCGGCCUAGGGCCGGCCCAGGGGAACGCCGUGUUCCAGACGACGUUGAUGUCGGGCGCGGCCUGUGCCACCACUGCCUGUGCAUCCGCUUCCUGGGCCUGGCGCGCCUCCUGCUCGGCCUCGCGCUACUCCUCCUCGGCAUCGCGCUCGAGCAUCUCGAGGUAUUCGCUGUCGCGGCGCUCCUCGACCAUCCGUCGCUGGCGCCAUUGUUCGAGGUACGCCGCCUCCUGCGCCGGUGUCACCCCCAUUCAGACCGGCAAUGCGCUGACCCACUCGCGCACUACUCCCGCCCAAGAGUAG